AUUGAACGCUGGCGGAAUGCUUUACACAUGCAAGUCGAACGGCAGCACGGACUUCGGUCUGGUGGCGAGUGGCGAACGGGUGAGUAAUACAUCGGAACGUGCCCAGUCGUGGGGGAUAACGUAGCGAAAGCUACGCUAAUACCGCAUACGAUCUACGGAUGAAAGCGGGGGAUCGCAAGACCUCGCGCGAUUGGAGCGGCCGAUGGCAGGUUAGGUAGUUGGUAGGGUAAAGGCCUACCAAGCCGACGAUCUGUAGCUGGUCUGAGAGGAUGAUCAGCCACACUGGGACUGAGACACGGCCCAGACUCCUACGGGAGGCAGCAGUGGGGAAUUUUGGACAGUGGACGCAAGUCUGAUCCAGCCAUUCCGCGUGCAGGAUGAAGGCCCUCGGGUUGUAAACUGCUUUUGUACAGAACGAAAAGGCUCUGGUUAAUACCUGGGGCUCAUGACGGUACUGUAAGAAUAAGCACCGGCUAACUACGUGCCAGCCGCCGCAGUAA
rnacentral:rRNA from 1 species